rnacentral:snRNA from 1 species
AACCCGUCUGAUAGCGCUUAA